GGAUUGUGGCUUAGUGACAGAGUGCUUGCCUAGCAUGUGUGAGGCACUGGGUUCAAUUCUCAGCACCG
rnacentral:tRNA from 1 species